rnacentral:rRNA from 1 species
ACGGAUAACAUACCGAAAGGUAUGCUAAUACGGGAUAAUAUAUUUGAGAGGCAUCUCUUAAAUAUCAAAGGUGAGCCAGUACAGGAUGGACCCGCGUCUGAUUAGCUAGUUGGUAAGGUAACGGCUUACCAAGGCGACGAUCAGUAGCCGACCUGAGAGGGUGAUCGGCCACAUUGGAACUGAGACACGGUCCAAACUCCUACGGGAGGCAGCAGUGGGGAAUAUUGCACAAUGGGCGAAAGCCUGAUGCAGCAACGCCGCGUGAGUGAUGAAGGCCUUCGGGUCGUAAAACUCUGUCCUCAAGGAAGAUAAUGACGGUACUUGAGGAGGAAGCCCCGGCUAACUACGUGCCAGCAGCCGCGGUAAUACGUAGGGGGCUAGCGUUAUCCGGAUUUACUGGGCGUAAAGGGUGCGUAGGCGGUCUUUCAAGUCAGGAGUGAAAGGCUACGGCUCAACCGUAGUAAGCUCUUGAAACUGGGAGACUUGAGUGCAGGAGAGGAGAGUGGAAUUCCUAGUGUAGCGGUGAAAUGCGUAGAUAUUAGGAGGAACACCAGUUGCGAAGGCGGCUCUCUGGACUGUAACUGACGCUGAGGCACGAAAGCGUGGGGAGCAAACAGGAUUAGAUACCCUGGUAGUCCACGCUGUAAACGAUGAGUACUAGGUGUCGGGGGUUACCCCCUUCGGUGCCGCAG